AAGAUAAUGACGGUACCCGCAGAAGAAGCCCCGGCUAACUCCGUGCCAGCAGCCGCGGUAAUACGGAGGGUGCAAGCGUUGUCCGGAUUUAUUGGGUUUAAAGGGUGCGUAGGUGGGCCUUUAAGUCAGUGGUGAAAGCCCAUCGCUCAACGAUGGAAUUGCCAUUGAUACUGGAGGCCUUGAGUUCAGUUGAGGUAGGCGGAAUUUAUGGUGUAGCGGUGAAAUGCAUAGAUACCAUAAGGAACUCCGAUAGCGAAGGCAGCUUACUAAACUGUUACUGACACUGAGGUACGAAAGCAUGGGGAGCGAACAGGAUUAGAUACCCUGGUAGUCCAUGCCGUAAAC
rnacentral:rRNA from 1 species